UGUGACUAACCUUGUGAAACUGUCAUGUUAUAAUCUUCUGUUCUUCUAAGUAUAAUUCUUUGUUGCUCCUGUGUCCUUGUAUAGAUAAAAAGGGAACUGAGAGUCAAACCAGCUGUCUCCUGUGUCCUUGUAUAGAUAAAAGGGGAAGGAAGAGUCAAACCAGCUGUCUCCUGUGUCCUUGUAUAGAUUUAAAGGGAAGUAAGAGUCAAACCAGCUGUCUCCUGUGUCCUUGUAUAGAUUUAAAGGGAAGUGAGAGUCAAACCAGCUGUCUCCUGUGUCCUUUGUAUAGAUAAAAAGGGAACUGAGAGUCAAACCAGCUGUCUCCUGUGUCCUUGUAUAGAUAAAAAGGGAACUGAGAGUCCUGCCCAAGAACAGAUCAAGAUAUAAAGAUAUGUGCUGAUCACCCAAUGCUUCUGAAUUCAGACUGUCUACGCUGUGGAACUCUGUUAUUCUCUCUGAGAUCACAAUGUUUCUGAAUUCAGACUGUCUACACUGUGGAACUCUGUUAUUCUCUCUGAGAUCACAAUGCUUCUGAAUUCAGACUGUCUACACUGUGCUGUUGAACUCUGUUAUUUCUCUGAGCUCAUAAAUAAACAAUCUGGGUUUGACUUGGACUCCAGCAGAUCCUCAAUUAUAUAUACCCACACACACACACACACACUCACACCUUGGACACAUACACACACACACAAACACUGGACACACACAUGCACAAAGUGAGCAUUUCUCCUUCCCCAAGAUAAUCCAUCCACCUGACAGGUGUGGCAUAUCAAGAAGCUGAUUAACAGCAUGAUCAUUACAAAGGUCUCUCUAAAAUGUGUAGUUUUGUCAUAUAAAAACCUCAGACCACUUGUAUGGCAUCAUGUGGGUGAGAGGUUUGCUGAUGUCAACAUUGUGAACAGCCCCAUGGUGGAGGUGAGGUUAUGGUUCCACAUUGUGAACAGCCCCAUGGUGGUGGUGAGGUUAUGGUUCAACAUCGUGAACAGCCCCAUGGUGGUGGUGAGGUUAUGGUUCAACAUUGUGAACAGCCCCAUGGUGGUGGUGAGGUUAUGGUAUGGCCAUUGUGAACAGCCCCAUGGUGGAGGUGAGGUUAUGGUUCAACAUUGUGAACAGCCCCAUGGUGGAGGUGGUGUUAUGGUUCAAUAUUGUGAACAGCCCCAUGGUGGUGGUGAGGUUAUGGUAUGGGCAGGCAUAAGCCACAGACCAUGAACUCAAGUGCAUUUUAUCGAUGGAAAUCUGAAUGCACAGAGAUACCGUGAUGAGAUCCCAUUGUCAUGCCAUUCAUCCUCACCCAUCACCUCAUGUUUCAGCAUGAUAAUGCACGGCCUGAUGUCGCAAGGAUCUGAACACAAUUCCUGGAAGCUGAAAAAAAAACUGUUCUUCCAUGGCCUGAGUACUCACCAGACAUGUCACCCAUUGAGCAUGUUUGGGAUGCUCUGGAUAUACGUGUACGAUAGCGUGAGAUUCGUAUCUGUAUUCCCAGUCAUGUGAAAUCUGUAGAUUAGGAUCUAAUUAAUGUAUUUCAACUGACUUAUUUCCUUAUAUGAACUGUAACUGUAACUCACUUGCAUUUUGGGUUUAUAUUUUUGUUCAGUAUAAUAAAAAGAUCAGUUGUAAAUGUUUUAUGUUUGAUAUGAUGUUAGUAACACUAAGUCAUUCCAUCCUUUCACUAAAUGGUAGUAACACUAAGUCAUUCCAUCCUUUCACUAAAGCUCUAAAGUAACUUUUAAUUGACAGAUGCCUCAUUUAUAUGUUGUGGAUGUUGAUGAAAGGAAAUCCCAUAUAGGCUACUGACCAGGACUUUGUUAUGGCAUCUUCUGUUUGGGAGUCUCAGGUCAGGUCAGAGCCAUGAUCAGAAUGUGUCUCUGUCUAUUUCCAGCCCUGACAUUUCUACCUGUCCUGAUCUAGUGUUUGACCCCUGACCUCCUCACACCGUCUCACUGUCCAUGUCUGCUUUUAGCUCCCACCUCUACUUCACUGUGUUAUAAUGGACCUUAUGGUUGUUAUGUCACCUCUGUAACCAGCUAUCAAACAUACUGACCUUUCUGACCCUAUCCCACCUCUACUUCACUGUGUUAUAAUGGACCUUAUGGUUGUUAUGUCACCUCUGUAACCAGGUAUCAAACAUACUGACCUUUCUGACCCUAUCCCAUGGCCCUACUUUCUAGAACUAAACAUUUAAUGUCCUCUGAGUUUUGCUUACUGUCCAUUUACUUAUGUAUUAUGUAUUUGUUGUAUAUUGGGGUUGUGCCUCAGAGCAUCAUGGGGGUUUGCAUGUGUUGAGAUGAUCACGUUCCAGAUAAAUGGUUGAUC
rnacentral:lncRNA from 1 species